rnacentral:rRNA from 1 species
CCUACGGGUGGCUGCAGUGGGGAAUAUUGGACAAUGGGGGGAACCCUGAUCCAGCCAUGCCGCGUGUGUGAAGAAGGCCCUCGGGUUGUAAAGCACUUUCAGUGAGGAAGAACGCCUGGUGGUUAAUACCCAUCAGGAAAGACAUCACUCACAGAAGAAGCACCGGCUAACUCCGUGCCAGCAGCCGCAGGUAAUACGGAGGGUGCGAGCGUUAAUCGGAAUUACUGGGCGUAAAGCGCGCGUAGGUGGCUUGAUAAGCCGGUUGUGAAAGCCCCGGGCUCAACCUGGGAACGGCAUCCGGAACUGUCAAGCUAGAGUGCAGGAGAGGAAGGUAGAAUUCCCGGUGUAGCGGUGAAAUGCGUAGAGAUCGGGAGGAAUACCAGUGGCGAAGGCGGCCUUCUGGACUGACACUGACACUGAGGUGCGAAAGCGUGGGUAGCAAACAGGAUUAGAUACCCUUGUAGUC